GGCCUAAGUAGUGUCAAAUUGCAAGUUUGGUUUGUGAAAAUAUGGAUUUUCGUAGGUCUA
rnacentral:tRNA from 1 species